CGAGCACGCGCGUGUGGCAUAUCAAUAAGCGGAGGAAAAGAAACUAACAAGGAUUCCCUUAGUAACGGCGAGUGAAGCGGGAAGAGCUCAAAUUUGAAAUCUUCAAGGUUCUACCUUGACGAAUUGUAGUUUAUAGAAGUGUUUUCUGUUAGUGGAGUGGCAAAAGUUCUUUGGAAUAGGACAUCAUAGAGGGUGAGAAUCCCGUAUUUGGUCAUUCCUCCUAGCGUUGUGAUACACUUUCAACGAGUCGGAUUGUUUGGGAAUGCAGUCCAAAAUGGGUGGUAAAUUUCAUCUAAAGCUAAAUAUUGGCGAGAGACCGAUAGCGAACAAGUACCGUGAGGGAAAGAUGAAAAGAACUUUGAAAAGAGAGUUAAACAGUACGUGAAAUUGUCAAAAGGGAAGCGUUUGACACCAGUGUUGUUUUUCCGAAAAUCAAUUACGAAUGUUUUGUUUUUGAGGAGUUAUGACUUCAUCGGCUUGCAUCCUUUCUUUACGAAACUUUCUUAAUGCACUUUUCGGUUAACAAGUCAACAUCAAUUUCUUUUGUUGUAAAAGGGUAUGAGGAAGGUGGCUUUCUUUUCGGAGAAAGUGUUUAUAGCCUUGUGCCUCUACAAUCGGAGAGAUUGAGGUCUGCAGCGUAGAUCCUUCGGGGUUAGAUACGUUUGUGCUAAGUAUAGCUUUUCAUAGACAACUUGUUGACUAUGUUUAGUCUUGUAGCUUACUCGCUGAUGCUAUUUUACCUACGCUUAGGAUGUUGAACUCUAUCACACACAG
rnacentral:rRNA from 1 species